UCCGGCCAUCUGGGCGCUGCUCCUCCGCGCCUCUGGCCUCCCCGCGGCGCGCCAGGCCCAUCUCCUCACCAGCCGCUCUGGGAUCCGACGGCGCCGUGGGUGGGGGCAGGUGAGACGGCCGAGCCCCGCCCGGGCGGAGGCAGGAAGCGCUCUCGCCUAUCCCCCUCCCGGACCCUGUCCUCGCCCGCCACUCACCGGCGCCAGGGGAACGCAGGAGCGUGAGCCCCUUCGCGCCCCCAGCGCCGUCGGCGUCGCUGCCCCAGACACAGACACUGCCUCGAGAGGCCUCACAGAGGCGGGGGCAGAAGGCGGCGACCCAGAGCCGCCACAUCCCCCGCCUUGGGCGCCGUCACAGUCCCCAGACGCCCUGGACUCCUGCAGUCUACGAAGACGCGCGGGGGACGGCGUGGUUCCGAGAGAGGGCGCCAAAGGCGACGUGCCGGCCGCCAGCUCCAGGCCGAGCCCCGAGCGCCUGCAGGAACACGCCCCUUCACCCGGCGCGGGACGCAGAGCUGCGAGAGAAUCUUGUUCAGCGCGGACUCAACGCCAGGGCGCCGCCUAGAGGUUGGUCUCUGUCUCGGCCUCACCCGCCGGGAGACCACAGAGCUGCUUCCCCAGCCGCCCGCCGCCAGAAAUUGGAAAAAAAAAAAAAAAAAAAAAAAAAAUCCAGCUGGGGUCUAGGAACUCGGCUUCUGGCACCUCUGAAUUCUCCGAGACUGUCUCCUCCCUCCCCGCCUGUAAUGAACCCUGUGAAGGGAGACAGGCCAGGAAGUCCCAGAAAUAUUUAUUCUUGUGACUCUCACAAAAUGGAAAAGGGUCUCAAUUUUUGUUUCUUUAAGGAACUUGUGUUCUGCGUCUGUGUCUACACUGCCUCCUCUCACCAACCAAAUUGUCUAGCCCC
rnacentral:lncRNA from 1 species